rnacentral:rRNA from 1 species
CAGCCGCCGCGGUAACACGUAGGGUGCAAGCGUUAAUCGGAAUUACUGGGCGUAAAGCGUGCGCAGGCGGUUAUAUAAGUCAGAUGUGAAAUCCCCGGGCUCAACCUGGGAACUGCAUUUGAGACUGUAUGGCUAGAGUGUGUCAGAGGGGGGUAGAAUUCCACGUGUAGCAGUGAAAUGCGUAGAUAUGUGGAGGAAUACCGAUGGCGAAGGCAGCCCCCUGGGAUAACACUGACGCUCAUGCACGAAAGCGUGGGGAGCAAACAGGAUUAGAUACCCCCGUAGUCCCUGUCUCUUAUAC